CCUACGGGAGGCAGCAGUCGAGAAUCAUUCACAAUGGGGGAAACCCUGAUGGUGCGACGCCGCGUGGGGGAAUGAAGGUCUUCGGAUUGUAAACCCCUGUCAUGUGGGAGCAAAUUAAAAAGAUAGUACCACAAGAGGAAGAGACGGCUAACUCUGUGCCAGCAGCCGCGGUAAUACAGAGGUCUCAAGCGUUGUUCGGAAUCACUGGGCGUAAAGCGUGCGUAGGCUGUUUCGUAAGUCGUGUGUGAAAGGCGCGGGCUCAACCCGCGGACGGCACAUGAUACUGCGAGACUAGAGUAAUGGAGGGGGAACCGGAAUUCGCGGUGUAGCAGUGAAAUGCGGAGAUAUCGAGAGGAACACUCGUGGCGAAGGCGGGUUCCUGGACAUUAACUGACGCUGAGGCACGAAGGCCAGGGGAGCGAAAGGGAUUAGAUACCCCAGUAGUC
rnacentral:rRNA from 1 species